GUGAGAGAGAACACAUGGAGACUCGCUUUCCAAAGCUCAAAGCCCUUUUCUACAGUGUUAUUUACAAACCAAACAAGCUUGAAGAUAGAUGACUUCCUACUGUCCGGCUCACAGGAAAGAAGCAUUUCGUUCAGGGCCACUCUAGCAAUACGACAAAAUGGUGGAAGAGGCGUGGGAGGAAAUGAGAAGACAUGUUCUGAAGAGCUGGAAAGAGUUGGAAGAGUGAAGGAAAGGACAAGUCAAAUGGAUAUCUGUAUGAAAAUAUGUGUGAGACCACUAUCUUGAGAAGAUGCAAAGGGUCACUGACAUCACUCCUAAAAAUAGGGACUGCUGCCGGGAACUGGAUGCGACAACUCUUAUAUAUUUAAUAA